AUUGAACGCUGGCGGCAGGCCUAACACAUGCAAGUCGAGCGGAUGACGGGAGCUUGCUCCUUGUUUCAGCGGCGGACGGGCGAGUAAUGCAUAGGAAUCUGCCUGGUAGUGGGGGGCCACGUUUCGAAAGGAACGAUAAUACCGAAUACGUCCUACGGUAGAAAGCAGGGGACCUUCGGGCAUUGCGCUCUCUGAUGAGCAGGGGUCGGAUUAGCUAGUUGGUGGGGUAAUGGGUGACCAAGGAGACGGUCCGUAACUGGUCUGAGAGGAUGAUCAGUCACACUGGAACGGUGAAACGGUCCACACUCCUACGGGAGGCAGGAGUGGGGAAUAUUGUAAAAUGGGCGAAAGGCUGAUCCAGCCAUGCCGCGUGUGUGAAGAAGGUCUUCGGAUUGUAAAGCACUUUAAGUUGGGAGGAAGGGCAGUAAGUUAAUACCUUGCUGUUUUGACGUUACCGACAGAAUAAGCACCGGCUAACUCUGUGCCAGCCGCCGCCGUAACAC
rnacentral:rRNA from 1 species